CAAGACGUAGGUUCAACAAAAGCAUUCAGCUUACACCUGAAAGAUUACCCGCUCACAUCGGGUCGUCUUUG
rnacentral:tRNA from 1 species